rnacentral:rRNA from 1 species
UACGGAGGGUGCAAGCGUUAUCCGGAUUCACUGGGUUUAAAGGGUGCGUAGGUGGGCAGGUAAGUCAGUGGUGAAAUCUCCGGGCUUAACCCGGGAACUGCCGUUGAUACUAUCUGUCUUGAAUAUAGUGGAGGUGAGCGGAAUAUGUCAUGUAGCGGUGAAAUGCUUAGAUAUGACAUAGAACACCAAUUGCGAAGGCAGCUCGCUACACUAUCAUUGACACUGAGGCACGAAAGCGUGGGGAUCAAACAGG